GUUUCUAUUAACUGAUUUUUCUCCUGGUCGUGGGCCACAUGUGCUGCUUCUCUACAUGUCUAGCAAUUUUAACUGGAUGUUUGACAUCAUCAAUAUUGUUCUAUGUCUGGAUUCCUGCCUUCCUUUCAAGAGCACUGGGCUUUGUUCUCGAAGGCAAUUUAUUUGAGCACUAGUUCAACCCUUAUAAGUGUUUUUUAGGGUAUUUUUAAACUUUGUCAGAGUGGAUUUAGAUUAACUUUUCUCCAAGGGUCGUUCGGCCUUACUUUUAAGGUAUGGCCUUUCUAGAGCCUCUAUAGGCAUUCUUUCUUUGUUUUGUUUUGGUUUUUUGUGAGGAAGAUUGGCCCUGAGCUAAUAUGUGUACCAAUCUUUCCUCCUUUUUGUAUGUGGGAUGCCAGCACAGCAUGGCUUGAUGAGCAGUGUGUAGGUCCCCAUCUGGGAUCCGAACCCAUGAACCCAGGCUGCUGAAGUGAAGCACACCAAACUUAACCACUACAACACCAGGCUGGCCCCCGUUCCUUGUUUUAUUACGCUUCACUUUACUGUGCUUCACAGAUACUGCAUUUUUUACAAGACCCUCCACCAGCAGAAAAAAAGGUUAUGACUUGCUGAAGCCUGGGAUGAUGGAGUUCAAAGCUGAGAGCAAGACCUUGACCAUGGCAACUUUAUCCAGGCAGUGCCACCAUGUGAUGCCACCUGAGGUGCCCGAGUGACAACCCCUCACCAUGGCCUCCCCCAGUAGCAACAAGUAUUAUUAAGGGUCUUGUAGGUGUGAUUUUCGCUCUGAAAAUGUGCCAGUUAUUAUCAUCUCUGGGCUUCACUUUUCUCGGAUGUAGAAUAAUGGGUUGGCCUCGAUGUUCUCUGAGAACGUUCAAUCUCUGUGAGACUCUAUUGAAAAUAUCAUUGACUCUCUUUUCUCUCUCUUUUCUUUUUCUUGUUUUCUUUUAAACAUCGAAAAAGGGCAGUGUCCUGUAAAACUUAAAUCUUGUGGCUUGUUCUUGAGUUUGACACACUAAACAAAUGAACUAUUUUCAACUGAUUAAUCAUGCCCCUCAGUUCUCAUGGGAAUAUGAGUUGGUUAUGCAUGAGAAAGUCUGCUGAUUUUGACGUGAGGAUGUCUUUCAGACAGGUAAGUCACCUGUGAUGAAGUGAUCCAUUGAAGAAAGCCUAUUUUCUUGCUGCAUAAAUACAGGCCUGAACUACGUGUGAGCUGUCAUACACAUACCCCCUGGAUGCAAUUCCCGAGAAGUGACAGGCCGCCAUCAUUCAUGCUAAUGUCUAUUUGUGCAACAAUGUUGUUUGAAAUAAUCGACCAAUUCAUCAAAGGGAACAGCCGACUUUGGUGGGGGAGGGGGGCAGAGGGUGCUUUUUCAGUCCUAAUGAAAGAAACGACAUUCCUGUUUACCAUUUGUCAGCUUUAAAUAGUCAAUAAAUGUUUGCAAUGAUUUCCAAAUUUUGAGAUGUGAUUCGCUUGUAAGGAUAUGAAAUUUUUAAGAUUUAUAGAGAGGGUGUUUCUUCCGUAAACAUUCAGCUUUGAUAAUUAUCAGGAGAACUAUUCAUUUUGUCUCAGAAGUUAAAUGCAUGAUAAAUGGAAUGCCUCUUAUUGGUUGCAAUUUUCUAAAUGUAAAGAAUGCCUAUUUCUUUGAUAAUCAACACAAAUACGUUAAUAAUAAUUAUAAAGCUUUUCAGUGCUAUAGGUUGAUGAUAAGCCUGAAAGUAUAGAAUAGUAUAAUCUCUAUAUUAAAUUGUUUUCAUUUUUGAAGCAGAUGCAACAAAAAUCAGAAUUUUCUUAGAAUUUCCAGGGACCCUACCCAGAUAUUCCUGACUGAUAACAGCUAAUAGGGUCAACUACGCCCUCCUACCGUGGGCUCCAUGUCUC
rnacentral:lncRNA from 1 species